rnacentral:lncRNA from 1 species
CAUGUCAUGCAGAAAAAGAUUUUAUAAAUCAGGUGGUAGAUAAAAGAUUAGCUACUGCAGUAGUGGGGGGUUCCGUGGGCCAGCCUAUUAGAGGGGCACGGUAAACUCCUUUAUAUUCUCACCUCGGUCGUAGAGGCGCGUAGGGUAUCUCCUGAGAUGGGCUUUUUGAGUGCACUUCACGUGGACCACCGCGUGAGAGUGAGACUCAGCUAACGCCAAGGAACGGCUAUGUUCCAAAAUAAAAAUAUG